CUAAAGGAUUUUUUAAAACCCACCAAGAAAAAUUGAGAGAUUUUU
rfam:Otolemur garnettii contig023147, whole genome shotgun sequence.